rnacentral:rRNA from 1 species
GAUGAACGCUGGCGGCGUGCCUAAUACAUGCAAGUCGAGCGAACAGAUAAGGAGCUUUCUCCUUUGACGUUAGCGGCGGACGGGUGAGUAACACGUGGAUAACCUACCUCUAAUACUGGGAUAACUACGGGAAAAAGGUGCUACUACCGCAUCAUAUGUCGAACCGCAUGGUUCAAAAGAGAAAGAUGGUUUUGCUGUCACUAAUAGAUGAAUCCGCGCCGGCUUAGUUAGGUGGUAAGGUAACGGCUUACCAAGGCAACGAUUCGUAUCCGACCGGAGGGGGAGGUUCGCCAACCCGGAACUGAGGACACGGUCCGACUCCUACGGGGAGGAACAGUAGGGAAUCUUCCGCCAUGGGCGAAAGCCUUACGGAGGAAAGCCGCGGGAGUUAUGAAGGUCUUCGGAUCGUUAAACUCUGUUAGUAGGGAAGAAAAAAUGUCUAAUUAACUGCGCACGUCUUGACGGUAACCAAACAGAAAGCCACGGCUAACUACGGG